GGCAAAGUCAGUGGGACAGCCACGGAGAACCGCACGCGAGGGGUUAAGUGGCUAAGGCCUUUCCAGUUGAAGAUUGGAGAUGAUCCGGCAAAUCUGGGAAGCCCAGAGACAGGCAGAAGACUACAUCCAUCUUCGCCCACACCGCAGAGCAGGCUGAGUGCCCACGCGGUGGAUGGGGAGUGGAGCUGCGGCUACCCCCACCAUGCCAGCACACUGAGAACUGGAUUCCAACAUUUCUGAAUCUGAAGACUUGUCUAGCUGCUAGAAGGCAACUGAAAUUGCCCGCCUGGUAAACAGAAAAAGCAUCAGACCUCAGGGUGCAGGGGUUGAUCUCUGAGGCCCAGCUUUGUGAUUAUACCAAAGACACUUGAUCUUAUGAUACCAUUCAAAAUGACUCAGGCCAGCACAGGAGCAAAGAAGUAUGCCGGCCUUAUACAUGGCAUAGAUUAGGAAACAUCAGCCUUCAGACAUGGGUUCAGCGCUUUAAAAGGCAUAAUAAUAACUCUGAGACUUGGUGAUUGUUAACCUGUCACCUAGCCCAGCUUUUUUCCAA